rnacentral:rRNA from 1 species
UACGUAGGGUGCAAGCGUUGUCCGGAUUUAUUGGGCGUAAAGAGCUCGUAGGCGGUUAAGAAAGUCGGGUGUGAAACCUCCAGGCUCAACCUGGAGACGCCACUCGAUACUUCUUUGACUUGAGUUCGGUAGGGGUAAGCGGAAUUCCUGGUGUAGCGGUGAAAUGCGUAGAUAUCGAGAGGAACACCUGCGGCGAAGGCGGGUUGCUGGGCUGACACUGACGCUGAGGCGCGAAAGCUAGGGGAGCGAACGGG